UACGUAGGGGCCGAGCGUUGUCCGGAGUUAUUGGGCGUAAAGCGCGCGCAGGCGGCCUCGCGCGCCCGACGUGAAAGCCCCCGGCUUAACCGGGGAGGGUCGUUGGGGACGGCGGGGCUUGAGGGCGGGAGAGGUCGGUGGAAUUCCCGGUGUAGCGGUGAAAUGCGUAGAGAUCGGGAGGAACAUCAGUGGCGAAGGCGGCCUUCUGGACCAGUACUGACGCUGAGGCACGAAAGCGUGGGGAGCAAACAGG
rnacentral:rRNA from 1 species